rnacentral:rRNA from 1 species
UACAGGGGGUGCAAGCGUUGCUCGGAAUUACUGAGCGUAAAGCGCGUGUAGGCGGCUGUCUAAGUUGGGUGUGAAAGCCCGGGGCUCAACCCCGGGACGCCGCCCAAGACUGGACGGCUUGAGGGCGGAAGAGGGGCGUGGAAUUCCAGGUGUAGCGGUGAAAUGCGUAGAGAUCUGGAGGAACACCCGUGGCGAAGGCGGCGCCCUGGUCCGGUACUGACGCUGAGACGCGAAAGCGCGGGGAGCGAACGGG